UAAAUUUAGAAAUCAGAAGAGUUGAAAGAAAAUAUGUGGAAAAAAUUGUUUUUAUUGAAUUGCAGAUUCAGCUAUUCCCAGUUUCACUUUCACUUGCUGGAUCAUAAUGAUCAUAAUGUCCAAUGUCUUCUUCCAAUUUAAUUUUAGUGUCGUCCUUCUAAAGUAAAUAUGCUUGAGAGUAGGCAUACUUACUGUUAGGAGAUGGUACACCUCUUUGGUUCAUCUCCAGUGUACUCAUUCAUAAUAAUGUAACUUUGGCAUAAAUUGCUCAUUGCCUUCUGUCUUUUCUCCAAUAAUGUAGCCAACGUAUUUUGAGUAAUGUUGCUUCUGAAAACAAAUACAUCUCCUUAGCUUUCAUCUUGAAAUAUUUAAACUUGAAAUCUGAAUUGCAGCGCUGCAUCACAGUCAAUGUCCAGCAGCACAAAGUUAUUUUCUUGCACCUCUGGUGAAUUCAUAUCUUGUCAGUAAUCAGUGAGUUUCUACUUCUCAGGUGCAUGUUUAUUUUUCUAGACUAAAUUGAUCAGUCGUGGUUUCAGCCAUUUUUACCUUGGAGUUUGUACCCUGUGAUUUGAGGGCCUUGGAAGGCUUUUGAAGGUCGAAUAUUCUAAUAUCUGAGCUUACACUUUCAAGAGAAGGUAAUUGGAAUAUAGGCAUCUAUGUCUGAUGGUAUUUGGAAGAUCUCAGCUGAUGUCGUCUUUUCUUUUUCACUUUGGGACCAUAAGAGAAGCAGCAACCUUUGUGGAAGAGUACAGCCUUUGGAGUCAAACCAAAUUAGAUUAAAAUUCCAGAACUACUACGACCUUGGACCAAUUGCUUAGUAUCUUUGAAACACAGUUUCUUCCUCUGUAAAAUAAGGAUUAUAAUACCCACCUUAGUAAUUUUUUUAACCAUUUCCCACAUGUCAGGCAUCAUUUUCACAUGGACUAAAGGCAAGCAUUAUGAUCCUUCACACUUUACAAGUUACUAUACAGAGGUUUAGAGAGGUUAAAAAAACACCCAAGAACAUACAUAGUUGUUAAGUAGUGGGUCCUCUUGUUGAUUCUCUUAUUUCAGUAGAAUUUGUUUUUAGAAAAGGACGCGCAGGGUCCAAAAAUAUAUACUUAAUAAAUAUAGUUUCCCCCAUGUGAUUUAGUUUAAGCCCUUGGGUAUAUAUUAGAGAUAUACUAAAGUAUUAAUACUGCAGUGUUAAAGCUGUAAUUUCUAUUUCACCCAUGUUGCUGCAUCACAUACUGAUGCUGUUUGAGAGUGUGCUUUUAAGUGGCUGUGGAGGACUAUAUGCUAUGAGAGCUGCUUUAUGCUUUUCUUUUUGAAGAUGUUGAUGGUGCUCUCAUCUUGAUGAGCACAACUCCUUUUCAGUAAAGAUUCUGGAUAAAUGUCUGUUGCAUGGAAUUGAAUGCUAGUCUACAAGGCAAUUUUUAUACCUUAGAUGAAGAGUGGAUGCCAUUUGCAGAAGAACUUGACAUUCUCAGGGAGUCAUUUUAUAGCCUAAAAGAAUUUUAUAUUUGUGAUUGUAUGACUCUGGAUAAAGAAUAAAAAAAAGAAUGAUUUACUUGGAAUUUAAAACUUUCAUUCCACUGUGGCUUCAUCUGCUGCCCAUUUGCAGGACACUGAUAACUUCAACUUCUUCUCCUGCUUCAUCUGCAGGCUCUUGAAGUCUGUGGGAUGUCCAAGUGUGUAUAGAAACUCGGAAAUAGCACAGUCCCUCUGGUUAAGAAUAACAUGUCAGUUUUCUUUUCUUGCUUUUGUGUGCUCUCUGGAGCUCACCCAUGCAUGAUGUUCCAGUGGACUUCAAAGGCAAGUCUAUGGUUGGAUUAGCUCCACAGGACAGAGAGCAAGAUUUGAGGUUAACAUGAGCAUAAUGUCCUGGAUGAAGCUUUGGAAGUACUUGUGAAGGAUUCUCAGGAUGAUGGAGUGAGUGAUGGAAUAGGUUGCCAACUGUAGUUACUCCACUCAGCGCAGAAUGGCUGCAGGGAAAUAUAAUCAGACAUGCCCAAAGAAGUCUGCUUAGGGUGAAACAAAUACCUUUGAGGUUUAAAUCAGAAAGGAAGGAGAGACUGUUUCUACAGGUGUCAUAGAAAAAUCAAUACUGAGCCAAGGAUUAUUGGAUCCCAUAGAACCAUGGAGGCGUGGCAGUGAAAUUCUCCCAAAGGCAGACGGUGUUCCUAGGUUUGGAAAUAUAAAUCCCAUGGGAAGUCAGCUGAAGAACAUUUUAUGCAUCACUUAUCCUGUUACGAGCCCUGUGCUGUUCUGUCUCUCUAUAAGACUGGCUGAAACCACAACGGUUGUUUGCAAUCUGCACUCUAACUUUGGAUCACCUAGUUAAUACUCUGACUCUGAUUAUUACCAAAGACAAUAUUCUCUAAAAGAUAUUCUCUAUAAGAAGGAUGCUCCUGCAUUAUUAAUAACAUCACAGGGAAAAUGCAACAUUUUGGAUGUCACAUCUGAUAAGUGGGUGACUGAUCAUACCCGCCGGCUGGCUAAUGUCAUAAUUAACAAAGUUGCUACUACAUCGGCAAAGUUUAAUCGAAAAAUUUGCCAGUGAUAUGAUGGCAUUGUCACAGAGAUCACAAGGGACACGGAGUCGACUUUUGCUCAAGAUGGAACGACAGAGCUGUGUAGGCAAGAUGAGAAAUUGCAAACUUGUUCGGCCAAAGGAGGCUAAUAAUGAAGGGGCCGGGAAGGAGGCCAGUGCUACCAGGGUUAUCUCACAACCUCAGAUGCUGGAUAAGUCGAAGGAGGCAGAAUCGCUUUGGGAUGACAUUCAGAAAGGCUGGAGUGAUUACUUGGAAGAGAAAAGCCUACCUAUUCUUUCCAAGGUUCAGGAAUAUUCCCCUGACCUGCUCAUCCAAUGGUCCAGUAAUGAAUUACUGGAGACCUGCCUUAGACAAAGAAUGCACUCGGAGCCCCAACACACCUAAAGCCACGCUUUGAAGGAUCUGCCAAGCUCACUUUUAAUCAUGAGAAAGAAAUUACCCACACGGAGUCAGCAGAAAAUGAGAAAGUAGAGCUCGUGCUGUGAAUAAUUCUAGCAAGUGCCAAGGGGCUAGUUGAGGAAUGGCUACAUGAGAUGUUAGUCUAAAACAGCACCUUGGAUCUAAGCAGCACCUUUGAGAAAGAAAAGACUGCUUCAAGAAUGUCUAGCUGCACCUCCUUUCCAUAUGUGGCCUAAGUGCCUAGGUUGGAUCAAUAGUUUAAUUUUUUUAUUGAACUGUUUGAUGUUGACUAUGGACUUACGUUCACUUUUACUGUUUUCUGUAUAUUUAUUUUUGCUUGAACUGUUUUAAUAUUGACUAUUUACCUCUGCUCAUUUUUAUUGAUUUUCUGUAUUUUUUCAAUGAAAAUUAUAAUAAAAAUUAGUUUUUGUUAU